UUAAGAGUAUGUUUGAGAGUGAUUAUAAAAAAUGUUUUUAAUGUUUUUAACAUUUGAAUAAUAAAAUUUUUCAAGUAUUAUAAAUAUUAAAAACACUUCCUAAAACCAGGCUCCAAAUCUCAAAUGCUUUCUCCGUUUUUGUUAAAAGUCCCUUAGCCGGUGAAAAUACUUAAUAUAGCAGGACAUGGAUUUGCCGGACGACGUUUUAGCGUGUUAUCGCUUUACCCGUAUUUUAAACUUUUGAAGUUGAAACAACCGCCUUUCCUUCUAUGCAUAUAUUUGAAUCAAGAAAGGCAGACACAGUCGCUUUCCGCUCGAGAAAACUCACUCCACCGCCCUUUCUAUAUCGUUUCUCUUUCAAUCCUUCGCGAUACAUGAUAUUUUGCAAUCAAACGGUUAUAUACUUUGGUGCGAUUGUCUAUCCAUGUUUGGCUAAUGCGAGGGUUUUCUGCAUUUUGCUGUCGAGUUUUGUCUUCAUUGAACCUUUUCAGGUCCCAUUUGGUGCCAGUUGGUUCUGAAUCGAGAUUAUGGUUUUUGGCUCACGUUUAGGGUUUAAAAUGGUUUAUUAAUUAAACAGUUAUCUUCUCUGGUUUUGGUACAAGAUAUUACAGCUUUAAUUGGGUCCUGUUAUUUGAUGCAAAUCUAUACGCUUGAGAGAAAACAUAUGGUGUUUCAUCCAGCAACCUUACAAGAGAAAGCCAAUUGAUUCUUGAGAUUGUCAGAGUUCUUCCACCCGGUAACAACAUGCUUGAAGAAAUUGCUAUUCUUUAUGCAAAUAUUUCAUAGCGUGUGGAGAAAAUCAUUUGAUAGAGUCUGAUGUGAUGUGGUGUAUGUGUAUUGAAAUGAACUCUUUUGAUCAGGUUCCUAUGGAGUUGGUUUCUAUGUCUCUCUCGGGUGGGUAAUAUUUUGGAGUAAAAUCAAUUUGGUGGAAUCCUAAACCAAAGAAUCCCUUUCAAUCCAUGUAAAUCAUAUGAUAACACAACUCUGGAUUAGUCUUUUAUCAACUGAUUUAUCAAAAAUUUUGCGUAA